CCUACGGGUGGCAGCAGUGAGGAAUAUUGGUCAAUGGGCGCGAGCCUGAACCAGCCAAGUAGCGUGAAGGAUGACUGCCCUACGGGUUGUAAACUUCUUUUAUAAAGGAAUAAAGUGAGGCACGUGUGCACUAUUGUAUGUACUUUAUGAAUAAGGAUCGGCUAACUCCGGGCCAGCAGCAGCGGUAAUAAGGAGGAUACGAGCGUUAUCCGGAUUUAGUGGGUUUAAAGGGAGCGUAGAUGGGUUGUUAAGUCAGUUGUGAAAGUUUGCGGAUUAACCGUAAAAUUGCAAUUGAUACUGGCAUUCUUGAGUACAGUUGAGGUAGGCGGAAUUCGUGGUGUAGCGGUGAAAUGCUUAGAUAUCACGAAGAACUCCGAUUGCGAAGGCAGCUUACUAAACUGCCACUGACAUUGAUGCUCGAAAGUGUGGGUAUCAAACAGGAUUAGAUACCCUUGUAGUC
rnacentral:rRNA from 1 species